CCAGACUCAGCUGUCAGCACAGAGCCGGAGGCGGGGUUUGAACCCACAAACGUUAAGAUCAUGACCCGAGCGGAAGUCAGAUGCUUAACCAACUGAGCCACCCAGGCACCCCAAAAAGUAUUUGAAUCUUGUGUUUUAUCAGGUCUCCUCCGACACUGCUCCCAUUGGGGAAAGAAAGACUCAGCCUCUUUACUGCCACGUGAUCCUGGAAGGUCAUGGAAGAUUCUUCACUAAGCCUCCUGGUGGAGGGGAGGAAGGAGUUCCUUGUUACUGUUGGACAGGGGCUAGAUCUGGUGGGUUACUCCUGGCAGAUCUCCUUGAAAGAUGCCUUCUUGAACCCUGAUCCAAGGAGGCCAGAUAAAAAAGAUGAAAAACUCAAGAGGCUUGAAGUUGCCUGAAAAAGGUGCUGAAUACCUUUUGCCAUGGGAACCAUGCAGAAGACAAAAAUGUACACACAUUUCCAGAACAGCCUUCCAAACCUUCAGUUGCAUUAAAGUUGAAUUUUAUAGGUUUUCUCACUUCUGCAUAUGUAUAAACUGAGAAUAGAAACUAUUCCCUAUAAGGAGGCUUCUAUACAUAUAUCAAAGGAUUGUGAUGACAUUAUAAUAACCAAUAGCGUGGAGCUGGGGCAGAUUGUGAUGAUUCUGGAAUCUCAAGACAUUUACUUUCUGUUAUAAAAUAUUAAUGAAACAGCUGACAAGCCAACAAAAUUCUAAAGGAGCACAUCUCACAGGAGAGAAAUUUGUUGACAUUGACUUGGGCUCCGAAGUGGGUUUUAUGAACUCACCGUUAUGGAUGUACCUAUUGCCUUUGUGUUAAUUGUGUAUUCAAGGAAGAGACGCUGCACUUUCAGAGAUAGACAUCAUCAUAACCUCUUUUAUUAUUCAAUUGUAUUUCAAAGCUAUGGGGCAGGACAGAGCUUGGGCUGAUGCUAUUUUUAUUUGCUUUUAAAUAGAAGUGACUUAUCUUGCAAAAAUGAAUGUGAAUAGGGUUUUUGUUGUUUUGUUUAGGCAUUUGUGGUUUAUUUAUUUAUUUAUUUUUAUUGCUGCAAGAAUUCCAAGGCAUGGUGUUUCUUUUAUUAGGAGGAAAAAAGAUACCUGAUGAUGAUCAGAAACAUUUUCAUCCGUUGGUGGGGUGUGGUAGUGUAAGUUACUAUAGCCAUAAAGUUUAGGGCAAGAGGCUGACUCCUCACUGCUGGGAGCUGAGAAGCACUGGGAUAAUAAUGCACCCCAGCAGCAGAAUAUAUAUAUUUUUUCCUUCAGUUUUUCAUGACACCCUUCCCCCUAGCUCCAGGAGCCAGGAUGAUGUGCUGCAGUAUGAAAAGCAGCCUGCGAUUCUGCUGCAUACUGGGAAAGAACAACUGACUUCCAGAGUAUUCAACAUUUAUUUGGCUGCUAAUUCAGCACAUACUUACCUAUCCCCUGGGUAUCUUUGUUUUGUUUUGAUUUAUACCCAGCAAGGCAAUAAAAACCCACCAUCUUCACAAUAUAUAUUUGGUGGUACUGGGUUUACCUGAGUAAACUACUUACGAUAUUUUCUCUUUAUAAGCAAGAAUGUACAUCUGCGCAUCAGCAGGCAGAGUUAGAAGACUAGAAAACUCCCAGCAUACAGAGGCACAUAUAUUCAAAACACUUUGUAUGAAUCCAAAUUGCUUUAUCUAAGACUUCAAUAUUGACCUCAUGGCACCAUCUUUUAAACAACCAAGUUAACUACAAACAAAUAAUUGUGUCUCAAAUGAUCUUUGAUAAAGUUGCAAAGAUAUGUCAAUGGAAAAGGAAUAGUCUUUUUCAGCAAAUUAUACUGGAACAAUUGGACAUCCACAUGCAAAAAAAGAAAAAAAACAAGCACCUAGACAUAGACCUUACACCUUUCAUGAUAAUUAACUCAAACUGGGUCAUGCAUCUAAAUGUAAAAUGUAAUACUAUAAAACUUCAGCAAAAAAAAAAAAAAAAAAAAAAAGAGAGAAAAUGUAUGUGACCUUAGGUUUGGUGGUGAAUUCUUAGCUGCAACACACGUAAAAAAACACAAUCUAUGAAAGAAAAAAAUUGGUAGAUUAGACUUAAUUAAAAAUUUAAAACUUCUGCCCCAAGAAAGACUCUAUUAAGAGAAUGAAGAAACAAGCUACAGACUGGGAGAACUUAGCUGCGAAAUAAUAUCCGAUCAAGAACUUCUAUUUAAAAUAUACAAAGAAC